rnacentral:rRNA from 1 species
CACCGUCUGGCGGGGAGUUUGACUGGGGCGGUCGCCUCCGAAAGAGUAUCGGAGGCGCUCAAAGGUCCCUUCAGGAUGGACGGAAACCAUCCGGAGAGCGCAAAGGCAGAAGGGGGCCUGACUGUGACGCCGACGGGCGGAGCAGGUACGAAAGUAGGACUUAGUGAUCCGGUGGCAUGAAGUGGGACUGCCAUCGCUCAACGGAUAAAAGCUACCCUGGGGAUAACAGGCUUAUCACUCCCAAGAGUUCACAUCGACGGAGUGGUUUGGCACCUCGAUGUCGGCUCAUCGCAUCCUGGGGCUGUAGCAGGUCCCAAGGGUUGGGCUGUUCGCCCAUUAAAGCGGUACGCGAGCUGGGUUCAGAACGUCGUGAGACAGUUCGGUCCCUAUCCGGCGCGGGCGCAGGAUAUCUGAGAGGAGCUGUCCCCAGUACGAGAGGACCGGGAUGGACGGACCUCUGGUGCACCUGCUGUCAACCAGUGGCACGGCAGGGUGGCCAGGUCCGGACGGGAUAAACGCUGAAGGCAUCUAAGCGUGAAGCCCCCCUCAAGACGGGAUAUCCCCUGCGAAGGCAGGUAAGACCCCCCGGGGAAGACGGGGUGGAUAGGGCAGGGGUGGAGGAAUGGCAACAUUCGGAGCUGACUGUCACUAACCGGUCGAGGGCUUGACCAU